AUACGUAGGGGGCGAGCGUUGUCCGGAAUGAUUGGGCGUAAAGGGCGCGUAGGCGGCGCGGUAAGUCUGGAGUGAAAGUCCUGCUUUCAAGGUGGGAAUUGCUUUGGAUACUGCCGCGCUUGAGUGCAGGAGAGGUUAUCGGAAUUCCCGGUGUAGCGGUGACAUGCGUAGAGAUCGUGAGGAACCCCAGUGGCGAAGGCGGGUAAAUUGACUGCAAGUGACGCUGAGGCGCGACAGUGUGGGGAGCAAACAGGAGUAGAUACCCUGGUAGUCCACACUGUAAACGAUGAAUGCUAGGUGUAAGAGGUAUCGACCCCUUUUGUGCCGGAGUCAACACAAUAAGCAUUCCGCCUGGGGAGUACGGCCGCAAGGUUGAAACUCAACGGAAUUGGCGGG
rnacentral:rRNA from 1 species